rnacentral:rRNA from 1 species
GACGAACGCUGGCGGCGUGCUUAAUACAUGCAAGUCGAACGGAAAGGCCCUGAUCUUGCGGCGUGCUCGAGUGGCGAACGCGUGUGUAUAACGUGAGUAAACUGCACCUGUCUUUGGGAUAAAUCCAGGAAACUGGGGAUAAUACCGGAUAGGAGAUCUUGAUGCACGGUGGGGGAUGGAAAGUUUCGGCGGCUUGGGAUGGACUCGCGGCUUAUCCGCUUGUUGGUGGGGUAGUGGCUUACAAAGUCUUUGACGGAUAGCCGGCCUGAGAGGUGGACCGGGGACAAUGGGACUGAGAGACGGCGCAGACGGCUACGGGCGGCAGCGGUGGAGAGUAUUACACAGUGGGCGGAAGCGUGAUACAGCAACGCCGCGUGCGUGAUGACGGCUUUCGGGUUGAAAACCACUUUGUCCUGUGACGAAGCGUGAUUGACGGUAAUUAGUAAAAAAGCACCGGCUAACUACGUG